UAGCGUACUACUUUUCUGUGGCGCAGGCGCGCGCAUGCGCGCUUCCAUAAUGCUGCGUCGACUGCUCCACCACCAUUUUAUACUUUAUGAGAUCGUCAGAAUACAUACCCAUGUUAUGACUUUGCAAAGAACUAGGUUAGAUGUUGUUCGUAUAAUCUUGUCCCACGAUAGGAAUACGAAUGAAUAGUUACAAUCUGAAAAAGGGAACAAUAUGACUUUUCACGGAUAUUAUCAUAGGAACAGAGACGACGACGAGUAUUGAGAUGAAGCGUAUUGGUAGAGAAAUGAUAACCCAGUGAUCGGAUUACGUUGUACGGGAGAGUAAUUUGGUAUUUUUGACGGAGAAUCAACACAUCGAAAGUUAGCAUUUGGCUUAUAGAGCAUAUAUGUACCUCUAGCUACAUUUUCACUCUAUCUACAAUCAAUCGUUUCAAGCAACGGAUCAAUGCAUCCAACUAUUGUUAGCUUCGCAGACUCGUUCGUUUUGAAAGUAUGUAAACACCAUAUUCUCCAAGACUACUCGAUCAGUUCGAUUGCUUAUUAGAGUAGAAGUGAUUAAUGUGAGGAACAAUUUGUUUAAAUUAACUAUAUUGAUCAAUAAUUUCUUACUAUAUAUAGAUGUUAUUAAGUGGUUUAAUAAAGCGUACGUUAUUAACGUUAUAAAAGAACUGUUAUGAAGGUCUCUAUCGCAAAGCGUUCUCGUUGCCUUGGUUUCUUUUUUAGCAAGACCACAAAAGAAAUUAUUUAAAAAAGAAUAAUAAAUCAUGUCAAAGAUUAUGAACAUUUAAAAUUAUGAAAUCAUCAGAAAAAUUUCACAACGGUUUAUAAAAUCUUUGAACGACGUUUGUAAAUAAAAGGUAAGCAAGUAAUAAAGCUUUUAUUGUCGAAAUGAAGCUGGUCAGUGUAACCGGGUUAAAAAUUCCUGUGAAUCCUUGUCAUCGUGUUUAAGAGCGGCUCGUCACGCGAACGAUGUCGGCUCGCCACUGUAUACCAAACUCUUAUGUAAGGCUCGUCAUGCGAAUACAUUUGUUUAUUUGGGUUAUUGCUUAGUUGUUUGUAGGGGCCGAUGUUUUUAGGAAAGCAACACGAGAUCCAUGCGCAACGAUACACACGAUUGUGCGCGUUAGCGCGGAAAUUGAAUUACCUUUGUGCGACUGCAGCGAUGAAAGCGAGGCCGGAUUGUACCAUCUUGCAAACGGUCUUCCAAUUAAACGUAGCUACGAAGUACAAUUUACACGUCAAAGGAUCUCGAUGAUAACGCUCCCAUUGGUUUUGUUCCAAAUGGGAUGCCUCAUUGAUCAUAUAUUGUUCAUUAAAAAAAUUGGAAGCAUCUGAUGAUUGUCAAUAAUUAAUCAGGGAUUAACGGCUGAUACAUAUUAUCAAUGAGAUAUUAAUAAUUUAAGAAGUAAUUGAGAAGCACGAUGUAACUCGUGUACCGAAGGGGUUAAUCUUUAUUUCUUCCUUUUUUCUUCAUUUUAGUACAGUAAAGAGAGAAUAUUCGCUUUCAAUUACAAAUACAUUGAUCAAGAUUAAUUUGGAGGGAUUAGUUCGUUAACUAACGGAGCGACGAGAUGAUGGGAGUUUAAGAGUCCCAUUAGGAUGUUCUCUGAAAACUUGUUUGCAAUUUAAAGUAAGUCAGCGUUUGGUCGGACGAAAGAAUCGUGGGUGGAAAGAAAAACUUUGUGCCCAGGGGAUGAAAAGACGGCUGGCAUAAAAUUAUAUUUGUUCAGUCGAAUCUUGGACGAAACGGGCUGUAGGACCGUGAUCAGAAUUUUUAUGGAAAGGCAGUGCCGAAUUCAUGAAUACGCGCGCGUUCGCUUCCUGUUCAAGAUUUACGGGCAUCACAAAUGCACGCUUCCGCCCACAUUCAAUGAAAGUUUCCAAGACAUUCGCACGCCAUUUAAUGAAGCUCUAACCCUAGCCUUCAUUUCCAAUAACAAACGUGAUUCCGUGUUGCUCGUUUCUUUGAUAAUGCGCUCUCCUGCAAAGUAAAGUAAGAAAGUUCAAAAGAUCAAAUGUCGAACGGCGUAUUAAAGAGAAUUUAUGUAAAUUCAAAGUAAGAAACAUAAUGUAGUUAACUACAUUAUAUUAUCGGCAUAGUAAUUAUUUGGAUUUAAAGUAGCGAUUUUUGUGAUAUAAAAUGUCACGUCGAAUUAAAAUCCCGCACAGGAAAGGUUUCGAUUGCGGGAAAUAUAAACUGCAGACGCGUUAAAAUCCAGUUAAUCGAAUUUAAAUGAUAUUCAGCCUUUAUUAAGGUUUCCCGUGACUUCGCACAUACCUUUAACACUGCCGUUUUCAUUAUCAUAAGCGUUACGUUAUUGCAAUCUUACCAAUACCGACACUGUUACACAGGUGAGACAGUCAUUAACAGGGAGCAAUUAAGUUAACUGUGUGCAAAAUGUUGUCAUUGAAUUUUAAUGAUCUCAUUACCUGUUAUUGGCUGUUAUGAUCUCAAUACGUACAGGAAAAGCCUUGUAAAACAUUAAUUAAGAAAUAUAGGACUUUGAAGGAUUGGCAAACAAAUUUUCGCUUUUUCGGAAAUUUUAUUUCAGUCAUACUGUUUAAUAUUUCACCAAGAGCAGUGGUUCUUAAAAUUACCGGAUUAACCUUGAACCCAAAAUCGUCCGCACUAUCCCGGCUGAUCCUCGAAGAAUACAAGCCGCAAACAAGAGAACGAAAGGUAUUAGGAGAAGAAAAGGAGUGUUCGAAAACAAGGUUAAAGACAAGCACGGUAAAAAAGGGGGAUAGAGAAACGGAAUGAAAGAAGAAACGUAAGAAGAGAUGAAAAAUAAGUGAAAAAAAUGAGGAGUAAGAAGAGGGCUCUGCUCGUGUCUGAGGGCGACCCUCGGUGAAAAUGCAAUUUCGGUUCUUGUCUGGAGACGACGUAGCUACCAUGGCUCAUCUUCCUGGCGUCCGUACCUCCUUCAACAUUGUUGAAGGCACAGCCUCUCGUGCACACAGAAGUUCUUCUCUCUGGCAUGUUCCAGGAGAUGAAAGGCUCCCGUGGCUAUCAAAGGGAAAGGGAAGAGAGGUAAAGGCCCCACCCGACAAUGGCCCUGAGCUCCAAGGUUUUCAAGCUCGACGUCCAGGCCUCGGAGGACCAGUCGUGUGAUUUCAACCGGCCUGUCAACUUAUUCCCAUUUCAACCGAUUUGGAUAAAUAUCACGAUUGUUUCGAUUUUCCAAUCAUCCAGAAUUUUCUGAAAUAAAUUUGAGAAUAUCGGAAAAUUCAAGUUUCCGUAUAUUAUAAAGCCUAUCGUUUAGAGUCUAGCAGAUUUUACGGGGAAUUCUCUAUGUGUCUAGGAAAUGGAGGAAAAACGCCAGCAUAUUAUUCACAGAGAGAAACGUUUCCUCUUUUAACCGAUUACGAAACGAAGAAAGAAGGCGGUUCUAAAUUUACAUUGGUUCAUUUUGCAUCCUCGUCGACGAGGUGAACGCGCUCUUCGACCAGCGACAUCUCGCCAGAGAGCCAUCUUCGGCGACGAGAGAACUGGAACAAGGUGUACGAUGAAUUUUCUGCGAGAUGUUUGAGAGCACUGCCAAUGAUUCAGCGUUUCUGACCGAUUGCCACGAGAGUGAGAGGAAGAGUAUCGAUAAUGCACGUGCCUCAUUUUACAUUGUUGCAUAUCUUGAUGGAGAACAUUCAAAGUUUCGUACUGCUUUCUUGGGAAUCAAUAAGAUUAGGGAGUACUUUGAGGUCUCCUUAAAUAACUUAAACUCAUUUCAUCUAUUUAAUGCUAUUAGAUAUAUGACAUCUCAUUAAUUCCAGGUGGUUAUAUUCUUAAAAAUAAAGUAAAGGAUUAGGAAGAAGUUUAUGAAACUCAGUCACAUAUUCGAUAGCAUAGCUGUAGGCGCGAACCAGACAUAAUAAGGCAUUUGUAUGUUCAUCGUGAUUUUGAUAUUCGAGGUCCCGUCUUUUUAGCCAUGCUUUUAAAUCAAGGAUCGAGAAUAGCAAGAAGAAGGAAGCUUUAAACGGACAACGUAAAAACAUUACGCUCGAAUCAGCGAGACAUCGUAAUUCAAUUAAAAAUGAAACAGAAAACAUUCGAUAACGGAAUGCGUUAACAGAUUAAAAGAAAUACGAUGAAAGCACGUGUACAGUAUACAGUAUACUACGUAUACGUCACGGGAGUAGAAAGAGAUGGAAAAAGAAAGAAAAAGAGAGACAGAGAGAUACAAAUCCAGUCGAUGGAAAUGUUACUGUAAAUCUGCGUCAAGAUCAGAGCUGACGUCAUCCUCUGACGCACCAUCAUCUGACAUACUCUGCAUUGUUCAGCGGACGUUCGAAAAUGUAUAUUUUCUAUUGCCAAUACUGUUAUCGCUUUUCAAACGUCAAUAUUCGUUAGUUUCUAAUUAUCACAUCGCCAAUUACUCAGUUUACAGCCUACAAAUAAAAAAAUCGAUUAUCGAGUCAAAGGAAAUGUUAAAGGUCAACGAAAAAUCUAAAGUCAGAUGAAACAUUUGUUUUACAAUUUCUCAACUCUUUCACAUUUUUUAAUUACAUGUAAUUCUAAUGUUAUGAAAUACUUGACAUAUAAAAAAAAUGUAUAUAAAAAAAAAAUUGAUAUAAUUUUAAAAAAAGAAGUUCAAUAUGGCUAAUUACACUUUAUCGCAGUAACUUUCUUUAAUAUAAAAUUAAUUUCGGUAAUAUAAAAUUUCAAAUUAUCAAAAUAUCAAAUUAUGAUUCAUAAAAUAUAUAGGAAAGGUGAAAGGUGAUUAUAAGUUACUGUAUUUAAAUUGUGUUUGACGUUCAAAGAGAUUAAUUUAUUUAAUAAUUAUUAACUAUAAUUAAAAUUGCAACCAUAUAUUAAUUGAUGCUGAAAGAUAAUAAAAUCCAAUUAAAAUGAAUAAGAGUGUACAGGAAUUUGAUUAUUAAUCAUGCAAUAGAUGUUACAGGAAAAUGGUAGUUUCGAUACGUGCUGCCAUCUUCGCAAUUGGUUGAUGCUUCUGGUAAGGCAGAGAACUGUACGUCAUAGUGAACAAUAACUUAGAUUCUACAUGAGAAUGAAUAGAACAUCUCGUGUUUGCGGACUCUGUAACAGGUGUUCUUGUUUCUGGAGGGGAGUUCGGACUGCUGGUUGCACAUCAGUGAUUUCUAUCUUCGACAUCAGAUAAUGUCUUUUCGCUGCCAAAAUCGUACCCAGGAAACUGAAAUAUCGAGGUAAAGUAGGCAGGUGUGCUUCCUGCAGACGUACAAGUACAUACAUAAUAAGAAGAUAAUAUUCAAGCAUAGAGAAGGAGCAGCGAGCGUAAGAGUGUGAGUGAUCACGUCCUGUACUUUCCUAAGCACCUGCGGAGCCAGAACAGAUCCGGCAGGUGCAAAAAGGAUACGGGAAACCCCGAAGAACUUUAUGCAAUCCUCGUUGAACGGGUAUACUUUGUAAGUAGGUAUUAUAUUUCUAAGAAAAGCAUUAAAAAAAGAAAGCGGUAUGGCUCAAAGCGCGGAGGUUUAAAUGUUUAAAGCGAGUCUUCUGGUAUAGAGCGCGGCGAUUUUCCUGCCGUUUCCCGGGUAACUUUUGCGUCAGCCUUUAUCGCCGGAAAAAAACUCGUUAGCUUGGCGCGGCCUAGCUGGCCUGCUUCCAGAACAAACCGCCAGAGGUCCGGCGUUACGUGCGAACCGAGGCCGUGCCGAUGAAUUUGGUGACGUAAGAGAAUAAAACCACCAUAAAGGCUUGCUGGUUCAUUAGCGCAAACCGCGGAGCAUGGCAUCCUUGUAGAGAGAGCGAGGUUAUAAUCCAUAGUCUGAUCUCGGUGUAUCCACAGAGUAAAUUACUUUUCGAAACGCGUUUGGUUUUUGAAUUAUCGACAUGUAGUCAUCCGGUUGUUCAGUGCUGCAGCGAAACGCAGCAAUAAGGAGAGAUAAUAUACAUACUUGACUUCCACUCGAAGAGGUCGGGUAGAUAAGAGAAGAGUGAACCUGCGAAAUUGACUUUCGUAAUUACCGACCGAGAAUGCGCCAGUAUCCAAGAAGUCAUCUCGAAAAUCCAAUUAGUGGAGAACUGCUUAACGGAGCACCAGUCACUUAAAUCGCACUUUACCAAUUUCCCUUCUUAUUAGAGGAUCAAAUGGCAAAUGAAUGAAAUAAGCGUGGUACGUGCAGUAUAAACACAAAAUUCAGCAAUUAUAUACAUCUUGCCUUGUGCAUGCUGCAAUUUGCAAAGAAUGAGGCAAUGCUUCUGCUUGCAGUUAUAUUUCUGGUAAAGAAACUACGAGUUUGAAGGAUCUUAAAUAUUUCUAUAUUGUACCACAAGAAUUAAGACAAAUUAACUUCUGAAAAAGUCUUGAACAUCAAGUCUCAAUUUCCAAUCUCAACUGAAUAGAAAUUACCACCAAAAAGUAUUCGAUAAGCUGUGGCAAGCAGUACAAUUUUCGGUCUCGAAAGAAAAUGCGCCACUGUUAUGCAAUUAAGAUUUUAAUAGAACUCUCAUGUCCGUGAAUCUCCGUUGGCCGCACCGAACACCGCAUCCCUCAAGGGGUUAAUUUCAUUUCGACUGUCUGGGCAACAUGCGAGCCGAAGGUGUGCAUCACGAAAGAACCUGCUACUGCACCAGCAUGUAUUGUUGUCGUCGACGUCGAAAGAGUUCAGUGUCAAACGUCAGCGAUUUGUUUUCAUGAUGCACAAACGCUAUGGUUGCACAACAACGAUUUAUCGCUGACGAAUGUUAUUGGCGACUCGUGAUCAGCGUGUACGCAAUAUCUUCACGGACGAGCCAUCGUAAUGCCGAGAGAGCCGAUUUUAAAAAUCAAUUCAUCUCCACGCGCCUGCGGGUAACGGUCGAUGUCCAGCUUUUAAUACGUCGUUAAGAUUGAGUGCUCGGAUUGCAAUUGAACUGUCGCAUUUUAAACGCCGACAAACUAGAAAAGUAUCGAGAAAAAUCUAUACAUAGAAUGUUUAGUAAUUCUUUGCGCUAAUUAUUUGAAUUCUUUUUAAUAAUUAAUGACGUAUUGCUUGAAAUAAGUAGAAAGUUAGUGAAUAAUAAAGUAUUCAUUGGAAUGUGCAUUUUUUGGCCGUUAAGCAAUGUUUAAUGACCAAAAUUCUGUUCGAUUGUGGAGAAACAAGCUUAGUGAUUGCUUAAAAAUUUAAUAGUUUAAUAAUAACUAGUCUAAUAAUAGUUUAAUAACACACCUCAAAGUUAAGGUCCUCUGAAGAGUUAAAUUAAUACCGUAUACAAUAUUCACGCACAAACAAUUUAUUUUACUUUUAAAGUGACAAUCUAAAUACCGAGAGAUAUAAUAAUUUAAAAUACAAAGCUUAAAUUAUGGAGUAUUAAAAAUAGUCUACAAUGAUAGCGAACUUGUCGAUAAGACAAUUAUUUUUUUUGAAAGAGCUCAAAAAUAUACGUACUCACGAAUAUUAAUUAUCGCUAAAAUUGUUUAAAGUCAUCCACUAGCGGCGGUAAAUUAUUUCUAAAACGGAUAUUGUUAAAGAUUUUUGGAAUAUACGCUGCGGAAUAGUAACUGGCCAAUCGAGAACGCGUUAUCUUAUCAUCAGCCAACAGCCCAACUUCUCCAUCCAAAUGCGUGCUCUAGUAUACAAGAGAUAACAUUUCGCCUCGUGGCCAAUGAGAUUCUAUUUGAGAUCCUGCUCGCUCGGUUGUGGAGAAAUCAGAAUCUGGAAUACGAGACAUGCAACUCGAUCUUGUGCUCAUCUCGAUUUCAGUCUCCCUUCCGAUCAAACACCGCUUCUUGGCAAUCUUGUAAUCUCGCCGAACAAGUCCUCUAGACUCGUUGAUCUAGACAUCGUAUACGCCGCGUUUAGCUCUAUAUUUUUACAUUACGUAUGAUUAAUUAUUAAUCGAUAACUUGUAAUUCUAGUUAAGACUCUCUUCAGACUUGGUAUCACGUUACGUUUAUCUAUAAAUUGCAUUACGUUCGCAGUAUGUAUUUGAAUUUAAGGACGUUGGUAUUUACCGUUAUCACUGUUUUUGAUUAUAAAAACAUUUUCAAGUAGAUUAAACUGUGGAAAUCAUACUCUUUGUGAUAUUAUGUAUGUGUAGCUUUUAUUUUGCAUAUUUAUGAGUAGUAGAAUUAAUAGAAAAUAUUGUAAUCAAUGGCAACUUUUGCUCUGACAAGCGAACAAAAAUUAGAGUAUAGAGAAUUUAUGCUUUCGAUUUGAAAUGACGAACAAACGUUUUCAAAUGAAACAAAGAGAAGCGUUUGUAUUCGUCGCUGUCUUACAGAAGAUUUGUAAAAUCUCACAUUGUAACUAUGCGAACGAAGAAAAAGCUUGCUUUAAAGAUUUUCAAAAAUCUUUGCAAAUAUUGAACUUCGUUCAAAACUAUCGCGAGGAAAUCAAAUUUUUGAUGAAAGAAAAUACAUACCGAGGUCUCGAUGCCGCUAUCGUGGCACACUGUUUGCCAUGAAUUAUGCUGAGAUUUCAUAAGUGGUUCUGACCUUUACUGCGAAGAAUUUUCUUAGAACGAUGACGACGAUGAUAUCGCAAGCGAGAGUUAAUAAUCGAUGUUCUACGUUCGAAAAAUGUUCGACAGAAUUAAGUAACGAUUACGUGGACAUUCAAGCGAAGGAUAAAUCCCACGAUUAGAUAAUAAUUGUAAUUGUUGCGGUUUAAACAGUCACGAUUACGGUGCUGUACUAUACUUUAAACGCUGUUUUAUUCUUUGUAUUAUUUUCUUUCUUCGUAUAACUUUUUAAUUCAAAUUCUACUUGUUAAAUUAUUUCUAUUAACAACUAAAAGCUAUUUAAUUUUUAAUUCCUGGGAUUUAGAGGGAGAAUGCCAUUUUUUGCUAUUUUUAAAAAAAUGUUACGAGUACUUUUAAGUUGUUUUAUCUUUUUCUUUGCUUUUUUAGCGCGCUAUUGAAUUCUUGCCUAUUCAUGAAGGGAUUCCCGGAGUUUCAUCUCGUGAAAAUGCAUGGAGUCCGACAAUUAACAUCGCAUCCAUUCACGUAAGCUCGGUGGCAUUACGGAAAGGAAAAAAAAUAAGCGUUCAUUCAUGAAAACUCUUAUCUGCGUAUACAUAGCCAUAGAUUACCAACCCCGUUUCAUUCACACGUUCGUGGAACAGGUUGAAUUUAUCGCUGACAUCUUUCCGUUGAAAAAAGGACCAUAUCAAUUUUAUAAACCCCACUAUUUUAUAUUUUAUCUUCGUCCAAUUUUUGUCCAAGAUACCAAGGAUUCCAAUUUUAUUACCACGAAUUACCGUAAAUUAACAAAACUCAACGCAUUCGCUUCAAUCUCUCUAAAAUAACAAGAAGAAAACCAUAGGAACUAAACUGAAGAAAACUACCAUGUUACAACACCUUUAAUUGACUAAAAAAUGACGGCAGUAAGGAAACUAUAGAAAUCAAAUAAAAGGUAUAACAUCGUCAUUUCUUCAACAUCAUAACAAAUCCAUUCGAAUUCAUUUCACCAGUUAAUCCACAAACAUUUCUUUUAUCCACAAAUCUCAUGGAAGAAACGGUAUCGAAAGAAACUAAGCAGGAGCAUCGUCGAAUCGACUCACGUGCACUGGAACACAGGCGAGCCUCGAGUCACAGUACAGGAUAUAUGACGCAAAUCGAAUGCACGUGGUUCUGUUUACGUACGAGAUAAGAGUUUGUCCUGGGUCAAGGCUGCACGCAGUUUGAUAAUCCAAUUCAGAUAACGGGAACGUGCAUAGAGUUUGCUGGACCUUGAGUACAUACAUACAUAUAUAUACACAUAUAACGAUGGUCUACGCGAGAAAGAGAAACGUCCGAAGAGAAUACACACGAGGCAGCGCAAGGCAAGGCGAGUCUCGAUGACUCAUUUCGCGAGCAAUUUGUCAAAUCAUCUGCCCCUUCUCUCCCCCGAAAGACCCGGCCUCGUUCCCUCUCCUUCAAACGGAAAGACUCACGUUUAUCGUGAAUAGUACGCCUAACGUGCGCACGUGACAUUUCGAGUAUCUCGAAUUAAACUGUAAACAUCGUAGUACAACCGACGGUUGAAGACCAGCCACGCGGACAGUGUCAAUGAUCCUACUAUUUAUUGGAUCGUUGCUUACGCACGGCGCCACAUGUCUGUGGAUAUGUAUGUGUACACGUCCGGCUGUAUAUGUGCGGGCAUCUCUCCUUCCUCGUCUCGCUUUUGUCAGUCGUGACCUCGAAGGUUAUUUCCUCUGUCUACCUCUUUAUCUUCUGAAUCUCCUUGCGAGACCCGAUUUUCGAAAUCUUUCAUUCAGAUGCUCUGCGGUGAAUGACACGACAUGAACAGGAAUUUGGCUUUGAUUCUCGAUUGAUAUGAUACUUAUGUAUGAUAGGAGCCUGAAAAUUUGUACCAGCUGCCUGUGGAUUAUGAUGUAUGAUUGUUAUAUCGUAUCGUUAUUACAGAUUGGUACAGAUUCAAAUAGAUUGCUUUUGGAAUGUACGUGUAUUCAAGUGUUUUCACACUUAAAUACUCUUCUCCUCUUCUUCAAUAGCAUACCAUGAAGUAUACGUUUCUCAAAUCUCUUCAGCCUCUAUCUUUCAAAAAGUCGAAGAACACUUAGGAACAAUGAAAUGUGAACAAGGUCAUCUCUUCUCCUCGUAAAUCCUCCAGAUAUCUUCUCUGAGACUGAAAGUCUCGAUAAUCAUGAUAUAAAUUGCGCGAACAGCCUCUGGUGACUUUGCAACUGCCGUUAGAUUCCAUGCAGCGACUGUACGCGUUUCGUUCCCUGUGACUACUCUCCACGUCUCCAUCUCGACCGAUUCUCCGUCACGAUUCAUAGGGGUAUAGGUAAACGACAUCCGCGUCCGAGUGGGCACGUGCGUGUGCCUCUGCGUUCGCGUGUCCCGUAGUUUGUGUCGUUGACUGAGGGUGGUGGUGGUCGUGUGAUGGUAGUGGCGAAAAGGGGGAAGAGGGUGACGGAGGAGGGAGAGCAAGCACGUGUGAGGACGUAGUACGAUUUACUCGCAGAUCGGUGGAACGUCUUCCUCGUUCCCUCCCUCGCCCUCUUUCUCGUCGAUGAGCUGUCUUUCUUUCUCUUCCACCCCUUCCCCCUAUCGCGUACUUCUCUUCCUCAUUCUCCUCCUCUUCGUCGUUCCUCCUCCUCCACCUCUUCCUCCUCCUCCGCCUUCUCCUCCUUCACCACCUCUUCCUCCUACCACUGACAUUAUACUACUACUACGGGGUACUCCACUUUCAUUCAGUCGCUUCUAAAAAUAAAGUCCCUGAUUCACAAUGCAUGAAUGACAAUCACACUGAAAGGAAUACCGCACAGACUUGUAGCCUUUCUCACUCUCUUUCCCCCCUAUCUCACUCCCUCUAACCGCCCCAUGUCUUCUUUGUCUCUCUUGUCGAUCUCCUGCUCUUGCGAUUUUCCCUCUCACUCCGUCUUUCUGUUGUAUGUGUCCUGUCUCGUUCUACCAUUCCCGAAGCACUCCCUCUCGCUCUCUUUUCGCUCCUAUCACUCUCGCCUCUCCUGUCUCGCUUCUUUUUCCAACCUGUUCUCUCGUUCCCUGGCGCCCACCACCCUUUCUCCCUCCUCUCUCUCUCUCACUCUCUCUCUUUCUCUCUGUGUCUAUGUAUGUAUAUAUAUGCCUGCCUCUGUGUAUAUGUGUCGUACUCUCUUGUAAGAGAGUGAAAUCUCGGUUCGCCUGUUGCAUCGAACUAUUGGUUGGUUCCGUGUAAAUAGAUCCCGUGGAAAUUCGAAGUAGCAUUGCCGCGUUGCGCCGGCCUGAUCGAUCGGAGGGAUCGAUCUUGCACCGGAGAACUUGUUGCACAUCGUGCCAGAUUUUACAAAUGUCACGGUCCGAUGUUUGAAUUGGCAUCAGAGAGUAUGUACGUCCGUUUGAAUAAACGUUAUCGCUUGCUCGUACUAUCCGAUGAUGAUCGAGUAAGUCGAGGAAUAGGAAGCAGUUGGAGAAUAGUUACUGAAACGUUUCUCUGCUCGUAGGUGUUUGGAUGAAGCGGUGGCUGCUUCUUUCGAGGAUAAACGAGAGGUUUGAUAUUGCUGAGGAUGAAAAAUUCUUAGUAGACUUCGCAAGACUGAUACGAUAACGAAGCGAGCUAUCUAAAGCAAGAUCGUAUCGCUGGCUGAUAAACGAAUUCUGCGAGAAAAACAAGUGUAGAUUCAACAAGAUAUCGUUGGUACUGCGUUAUGACAGUUUAAGGCGAUGUGCGUGUUCGUUUUAAAGUACAAGUAUAAUUAAAGUAUAGCGAUGAAAGCAUAUAACAGGAUCUCAUGCAAUUUAUUAUCCAUAUAAUUACAGAAUUCUUAAUGUAUUAAGUCAAGAAAACGAGAAGGGUUCGUUUUAUGAAGAUCAACAACGAAGAUAGCAACCGGAAAUACCAGCUAUAAUUUGGGAAUGCACAAUUGUCCCGUAACGCUCUGAAGGUUCACGGAAAUAGGGGCGAGUAACCCUGAAUAUCUCGUGAAGUUCUCGGCUCGAAGCACCCAAGGAGAACUGGUUUCAACUCAUCAUAGUCACCUAGCUGUUCACGAUACGGCAUUCCAAAAUAAAAAGCAGAAUAAUCAAAUGUCCCUGAAAACAGCAAAACACUGCCGAAUUCAAUAAUAUUGCUUGAAGCUGUUUUAAAGUCUACAGGUUUUUCGAAAAUUCUUCAGUGAAGAAUUAACCACGAGAAGAGUUAUAUUAACUCGUACAUAUAAAAGACCUACUUUCAUCACCCUUCUUGAAGUUACUCACGCGAAACAUCCUUGUUAAUAGAUAAUCCUAUAAUAAAUGCAGCCUACGGAAACUUCAAGACACUUCAAAUUCUUCUUGCGAAAGAAAUUGCAGCAACGUUCAACGGUGCUAUAAAAAUAUGGCAAACGUUUGCGAGCGUUUAUCCACUUGCGAUAUUCCAAACGACUACAGGAGAAGUUAAAUAUUUCUUUAAAAUGAAAAUGCUUCCUGGCAUCAGAAGUUAAAGAAAAAGUGACUCCAGUACUUGAAGAAAAAAAGAAAAUAAUUCAAAGUCGGAUAAUUCCAAGAUUAAAAUAUCCCUCUAGUU